rnacentral:lncRNA from 1 species
AACCCUAAAAAGUCAAACUUGGUCAACUGUGACUGAUUUUAUGGUUUUGAUGGAUGGAUUUGGUUUGAGAGAGCUUAUUCAUGUCCAAAUAGGCCUCAUGUAUCAUGGCAAACAACAUCAUUGAAGAAUUUGAAGCCAAUCAGAAAAUUUCCAAAAAUAGAAACUGGACCUGUAAUUUUAACUGCCAAAAAUGGAAACUUCUUGAUCCCAAACUUACAUCAUGAUACAAGCUUCAAAUGAAUUUUUGCCCAACAUGAAAG